rfam:Schistosoma curassoni strain Dakar, Senegal genome assembly, scaffold: SCTD_scaffold0003440
AUCCAGCUGAAGAGUCCCAAAUCGGAUGGAACGCAAGUCCUGGAU